AGGAUGUCUUCAAAAGGAGCAUACUUCUCCUUGUCGGAUUCGAAUAGGGCGUCAAACUCAGCGAGCAGCUGGUGGCGCUGAAGCAUGCCUUUGCCCUGGUGAACAUACCUGCAAAGAGUGGUAUUUUUCAGAAAAAAGACAGUCCUACACCUCAUAUUUUUCAUAUGACCUAACUAUGUAAGCAGCACAACCAUGUCUACAAGAAUAUACUGAAGUCUAGCUAAAAACAUAUAACAUUUCAACAUGAUUCAAAUUCCUCUAGUCGGCACUAUGAUGUUUGAACCAUGUGAGCAGCACUACCCUGUCUCCCAGAUUAUGCUGAAGUAUAGUCUAGCUAAGAACAUGUAACAUUACAACAUGAUCCAGAUUCCUCUAGUCCUGGCUACGAUCUAUCAAAGAUAUGCAUGCAUCAACUUCUGAUGUUCAUGUUGCCGUGCUAAAAAAAACUAAGGGCAUAAAGACAGGGAUAAAAUAUAUACCAUUUCAACCUGAUUUGGUACCAUAACAGAGGUUAGUUUCACAUAGAGGUAGGCAUGUUUUGAGAUCCUCACCUGGAGAAGAGUGCAAUGAGCUCAUUGGGAUGGGAGGAGAAGGUGGCACCAAGGCGCUCCCUGAGGCUGUGGAGGCGGGUCAGCUUGGCAGCCAUGGCUCAGGACACA
rnacentral:lncRNA from 1 species